GCCUGGAUACAAAAGAGGAGAGGCUGCGCCCAAAAGAGACCCCCCCGAAGAUCAUCUUCUUCGAACCACCCCACCCCGAAACAACAACCCCCCAUCUUCUUUUCUAACACAAAAGUCAGCCUGCAGCCAUCGCUCCCUCACCCAUCUUCCUCGCUGUCAUAGACGAGAAAAGCACAAACAAAAUAAAAAUUGUGAUUUUUGGUUCGUCAAAGUUCGAUUUGAAUCUGGACUGUUGUUUUGCUCAGUUAAAUUACUUAUUUUCAUUUCGAAGUCGAUUAUUCUGGCCUAAUUAGAAAGAGUCACUAGAGGUUCGAAGGUUCCAUCUUGGUUUCGGUUGAGUCCGUCCGUGUCCAGCUUUCAUGACCUUCAUAAGGACUGAUUCUGUCGUCAUUUUCCUACAAUUGGUCGUAGUCUCUAUUCGAGGUGUGACCGGUUGUUUUGAUUCAAGUUCGAGGUUCCGAGAUCAACUGGCCGCCGUAUUCUCGAUUGAAUUUUGGAGCUAAUUUUGUAACAACCAAUUUUCUCCAUUGUUAUUAAAUAAAUUCUUAUUCGAACAGGUUCUCUUCUUUAUUCUAUUGCUUACUCUAGCUUCUGCUACUGUGGAUCGAGCUUUAGAAUAGCCAUGUUUAAAUGCAUACUACAUGAUUAUGUUUAAAUUUGCGCUGAUUGGUAGCUACAGUUGCUCGUUCUAACACUCUGG
rnacentral:lncRNA from 1 species